rnacentral:rRNA from 1 species
GUCUACGGCCAUGCUACCCUGAACACGCCUGGUCCCAACUGAUCUUGGAAGUUAAGCAGCGUUAGGCCUGGUUAGUACUUGAAUGGGAGACCACCUAGGAAGACCAGGUGUUAUAAGCG